rnacentral:sRNA from 1 species
UACCUAUGCUGAUAGCCUUAGAGGCUACA